GACGAACGCUGGCGGCGUGCCUAAUACAUGCAAGUCGAGCGGACGGAUGGGAGCUUGCUCCCAGACCGUCAGCGGCGGACGGGUGAGUAACACGUGGGCAACCUGCCUGUAAGACUGGGAUAACUCCGGGAAACCGGGGCUAAUACCGGAUAACUCUUUCCCUCACAUGAGGGAAAGCUGAAAGAUGGCAUCUCGCUAUCACUUACAGAUGGGCCCGCGGCGCAUUAGCUAGUUGGUGAGGUAACGGCUCACCAAGGCGACGAUGCGUAGCCGACCUGAGAGGGUGAGCGGCCACACUGGGACUGAGACACGGCCCAGACUCCUACGGGAGGCAGCAGUAGGGAAUCUUCCGCAAUGGACGAAAGUCUGACGGAGCAACGCCGCGUGAGUGAUGAAGGUUUUCGGAUCGUAAAACUCUGUUGUCAGGGAAGAACAAGUACCGGAGUAACUGCCGGUACCUUGACGGUACCUGACCAGAAAGCCACGGCUAACUACGUG
rnacentral:rRNA from 1 species